CCUACGGGAGGCUGCAGUAGGGAAUCUUCGGCAAUGGGGGCAACCCUGACCGAGCAACGCCGCGUGAGUGCAGAAGGUUUUCGGAUCGUAAAACUCUGUUGUUAGCGAAGAACGUUAAGUAGAGUGGAAAAUUACUUAAGUGACGGUAUCUAACCAGAAAGGAACGGCUAACUACGUGCCAGCAGCCGCGGUCCUACGUAGGACCCAAGCGUUGUCCGGAUUUACUGGGGGUAAAGCGAGCGCAGGUGGUUUCUUAAGGCUGAUGUAAAAGGCAGUGGCUCAACCAUUGUGUGCAUUGGAAACUGGGGGACUUGAGUGCAGGAGAGGAGAGUGGAAUUCCAUGUGUAGCGGUGAAAUGCGUAGAUAUAUGGAGGAACACCGGAGGCGAAAGCGGCUCUCUGGCCUGUAGCUGACACUGAGGCUCGAAAGCGUGGGGAGCAAACAGGAUUAGAUACCCUGGUAGUC
rnacentral:rRNA from 1 species